CAUGGUUGUCGUCAGCUCGUGUCGUGAGAUGUGGUUAAGUCCGCAACGAGCGCAACCCUCGACCUUAGUUGCCAGCAUUCAGUUGGGCACUCUAAGGUGACUGCCGGCUAAAAGUCGGAGGAAGGUGGGGAUGACGUCAAAUCAUCAUGCCCCUUAUGACCUGGGCUACACACGUGCUACAAUGGUUGGUACAACGAGUUGCGAGUCGGUGACGGCGAGCUAAUCUCUUAAAGCCAAUCUCAGUUCGGAUUGUAGGCUGCAACUCGCCUACAUGAAGUCGGAAUCGCUAGUAAUCGCGGAUCAGCACGCCGCGGUGAAUACGUUCCCGGGCCUU
rnacentral:rRNA from 1 species